GUAAGUAGAGGUGAGAUGGUAGAGGAUGUCCCAGUCUGCAGUGAAUGCCAUGCAGGGGAAGGAUCCCAACGCACUAACAACAAAGGUGGACUUUGUUGCGUUUAUAGCGCAAGCGAUAAAUUGCACUAGUCAAACUAAUAAAAAUGUAAGAAGCUAGAUAUCAUUGUGAAGGAGGCAAAUAGAUCUCCAGGACUUUACAACCAAAAUGUUACAGGGAAUACUGAAUGAAGAGGUUCCACGUCCCAGUGGGAUUGUUAGAAAUUCAGGGUUCACUAUAGACAGGUCGUGACCAGCCUCACAUUCCAGUACAGUAGGUGGCGGUGUAAACACCCGUCAGUUGUUUGCGGUCUGCGAAUACAAACUCGAAGAAAAUGACAGGCCGUUGUCUAUCUUAGGUUAGUUAUUAAAAAUAAAUCGUUGACACAGUUCUUACCACAGAAGGAUUGGAGCUAGCACCAUGGAAACAACAAGAAAGAAGAAGAGGGUGUGUAGAUGGAUUCAUUGUUUGGUAAAUCCAUUUACCUGGGAAACCAGAUGUGUGCAAUUAAUUAUCAGCUAG